GCACGGAUAGCUCAGUUGGUUAGAGCAUGGUGCUGAUAACACAAAGGUUGCAGGUUCGGGCCCAGUAUGGGACAGCUGCA